UACAGAGGGUGCGAGCGUUAAUCGGAAUUACUGGGCGUAAAGGGUGCGUAGGUUGUUGUAAGGGUUGUAUGUAAAAUCCCCGGGCUUAACCUGGGAAUGUCAUAUGAUACUGUACGACUAGAGUUGGGUAGAGGGUAGUGGAAUUUCCGGUGUAGCGGUGAAAUGCGUAGAAAUCGGAAGGAACACCGGUGGCGAAGGCGGCUACCUGGACUUAGACUGACACUGAGGCACGAAAGCGUGGGGAUCAAACAGG
rnacentral:rRNA from 1 species